GGAGUUUGGGCCGUGUCUCAGUCCCAAUGUGGCCGGUCACCCUCUCAGGUCGGCUACUGAUCGUCGCCUUGGUGAGCCGUUACCUCACCAACUAGCUAAUCAGACGCGGGUCCAUCCUAUACCACCGGAGUUUUUCACACUGCUUCAUGCGAAGCUGUGCGCUUAUGCGGUAUUAGCAGCUGUUUCCAACUGUUAUCCCCCUGUAUAGGGUAGGUUACCCACGCGUUACUCACCCGUCCGCCACUCAGUCACCUCAAGGCGAAUCAAUCAGAAGCAAGCUUCGUCAAUCUUCAAUUAGAGGUGCUUCGUUCGACUUGCAUGUGUUAAGCACGCCGCCAGCGUUCAUC
rnacentral:rRNA from 1 species